rnacentral:rRNA from 1 species
GACGAACGCUGGCGGCGUGCUUAACACAUGCAAGUCGAACGGAAAGGCCCUGCUUGCAGGGUACUCGAGUGGCGAACGGGUGAGUAACACGUGGGUGAUCUGCCCUGCACUUCGGGAUAAGCCUGGGAAACUGGGUCUAAUACCGGAUAGGAGCCAUUUUUAGUGUGAUGGUUGGAAAGUUUUUUCGGUGUAGGAUGAGCUCGCGGCCUAUCAGCUUGUUGGUGGGGUAAUGGCCUACCAAGGCGGCGACGGGUAGCCGGCCUGAGAGGGUGGACGGCCACAUUGGGACUGAGAUACGGCCCAGACUCCUAACGGGGGCAGGAGGGGGGAAUAUUGCACAAAGGGCGCAAGCCUGAUGCAGCGACGCCGCGGGGGGGAUGACGGCCUUCGGGUUGGAAACUCCCUUCGCUAGGGACGAAGCUUUUUGUGACGGUACCUAGAUAAGAAGCACCGGCUAACUACGUG